AGUCGAACGGUGAACACGGAGCUUGCUCUGUGGGAUCAGUGGCGAACGGGUGAGUAACACGUGAGCAACCUGCCCCUGACUCUGGGAUAAGCGCUGGAAACGGCGUCUAAUACUGGAUAUGUGACGUGACCGCAUGGUCUGCGUCUGGAAAGAAUUUCGGUUGGGGAUGGGCUCGCGGCCUAUCAGCUUGUUGGUGAGGUAAUGGCUCACCAAGGCGUCGACGGGUAGCCGGCCUGAGAGGGUGACCGGCCACACUGGGACUGAGACACGGCCCAGACUCCUACGGGAGGCAGCAGUGGGGAAUAUUGCACAAUGGGCGCAAGCCUGAUGCAGCAACGCCGCGUGAGGGACGACGGCCUUCGGGUUGUAAACCUCUUUUAGCAGGGAAGAAGCGAAAGUGACGGUACCUGCAGAAAAAGCGCCGGCUAACUACGUGCCAGCAGCCGCGGUAAUACGUAGGGCGCAAGCGUUAUCCGGAAUUAUUGGGCGUAAAGAGCUCGUAGGCGGUUUGUCGCGUCUGCUGUGAAAUCCGGAGGCUCAACCUCCGGCCUGCAGUGGGUACGGGCAGACUAGAGUGCGGUAGGGGAGAUUGGAAUUCCUGGUGUAGCGGUGGAAUGCGCAGAUAUCAGGAGGAACACCGAUGGCGAAGGCAGAUCUCUGGGCCGUAACUGACGCUGAGGAGCGAAAGGGUGGGGAGCAAACAGGCUUAGAUACCCUGGUAGUCCACCCCGUAAACGUUGGGAACUAGUUGUGGGGUCCAUUCCACGGAUUCCGUGACGCAGCUAACGCAUUAAGUUCCCCGCCUGGGGAGUACGGCCGCAAGGCUAAAACUCAAAGGAAUUG
rnacentral:rRNA from 1 species